GGAGAGGUGACCGAGUGGCUUAAGGUGGCGGUCUUGAAAACCGCUGUGCCGAAAGGUACCGGGGGUUCGAAUCCCUCCCUCUCCG
rnacentral:tRNA from 1 species